rnacentral:rRNA from 1 species
UGGGGAAUCUUGCACAAUGGGGGCAACCCUGAUGCAGCGACGCCGCGUGAGCGAUGAAGCCCUUCGGGGCGUAAAGCUCUUUCGACCGGAACGAUAAUGACGGUACCGGGAGAAGAAGCUGCGGCUAACUACGUGCCAGCAGCCGCGGUAAUACGUAGGCAGCAAGCGUUGUUCGGAGUUACUGGGCGUAAAGAGUGCGUAGGCGGUUUUCUAAGUUCGGUGUGAAAUCUCCCGGCUUAACUGGGAGGGUGCGCCGAAGACUGGGAAGCUGGAGUGUGGGAAAGGCAGGCGGAAUUCCUGGUGUGGCGGUGAAAUGCGUAGAUAUCAGGAGGAACACCGGCGGUGUAGACGGCUUGCUAGACCAUAACUGACGCUGAGGCACGAAAGCGUGGGUAGCAAACA